AGAGUUUGAUCCUGGCUCAGAACGAACGCUGGCGGCAGGCUUAACACAUGCAAGUCGAGCGCACUCUUCGGAGUGAGCGGCAGACGGGUGAGUAACGCGUGGGAAUCUACCCAUCUCUAGGGAAUAACUCAGGGAAACUUGUGCUAAUACCCUAUACGCCCCUCGGGGGAAAGAUUUAUCGGAGAUGGAUGAGCCCGCGUUGGAUUAGCUAGUUGGUGAGGUAAUGGCUCACCAAGGCGACGAUCCAUAGCUGGUCUGAGAGGAUGAUCAGCCACACUGGGACUGAGACACGGCCCAGACUCCUACGGGAGGCAGCAGUGGGGAAUAUUGGACAAUGGGCGCAAGCCUGAUCCAGCCAUGCCGCGUGAGUGAUGAAGGCCCUAGGGUUGUAAAGCUCUUUCAACGGUGAAGAUAAUGACGGUAACCG
rnacentral:rRNA from 1 species